CCUCGUCUGACUCCAGCCCGGAGUACACCUGCAUGAGGUCAGCUGCUGGCACCUGCUCCACGAUCACCGCAGGAAACACUGACGGGUCGUCCAGCUAGAACGACAGGGGACAGCGGGGUUAUGACGGGAAAAAGGGAUUCUGAGAUCGACCGCCGUCGAGGAGCAGCAGCGGCAGUAAUGUGAGCAUUGUAUCGGACGAUGGUGGGGGAAGAAGGAGCUGAGACGAAAGGUAAAGCCCUUGAUUUUCCAGUCGAUCUUCAUCCCCACUCUCACCUAUGGUCAUGAGUUAUGGGUAAUGACCGAAAGAGUGAGAUCGCGAAUACAAGCGGUCGAAAUGGGGUUCCUCCCUAGGGUGACGGGGCUUACUCUCCUUGACAGGGUGAGGAGCUCAGCCUGCUCAACAUUGAAAGGAGUCAGUUGAAGUGGUUCAAGAAUCUGAUAAGAAUGCCCCGUGGGCGCCUCCCUCUGGAGGUGUUCCGGGCACGGCCACUGGGGAGGAGACCCAGGGACAGACCUAGCACACGCUAGAGGGAUUAUAUCCACAGGCUGGCCUGGGAUCGCCUUGGGAUUCACCGGGAUGUGUUAGCGGAAGUCACUAGGGAGAGGGACGUCUGAGCUGCUUUGCUUGCCCUGUUGGCACCACGACCCUGAUCUGGACUAGGAGUUUAGAAAAUGGAUGGAUGGGCCUCUCCACAGUGACAACACAGUCUGUCAGGUUGGGCCUGUAUCAGCCACACUCUGAGGAGCCAUGGGGGGAUGGAACGAGCGAUGACGUGACUCGACGGGCAAGCUUUGCACCGGCCUGCCACGCAGAAUCCUGCACCCUGAUGACACUCGAGCGCGCGCAUGCGACCACGCAUGGAAACUCUUCUGCAAACGCUUAUGCACACGGAAAUCAGCAACCGCAUCACACGCAUUCAAAUGCAGUCAACAGUCUACCCCCCAUCACCCCUUUUCAGCACUGCAGUGUUCUUCUCUCCUUUACCUCUUCAAGCUACCCUGCCUUUCCCUACCAGACAGAGCUUUCCUUUCAAAACAUUCUCCUUUUCAUUGCCAUCUGUAUGGCCUAACUUCAAAAAGACUUAUUGUAUUAAUUUACCGCUUAGACCUCUCUUAAUCCCAGUUUUGUAGUUCUCCAUACGAGAAGAAGAAAAUCCUUUCAGACUUUACACAUCAGGCUGAAAAAUCAGGUAACAUUACAUGUGUAUGAAAUUGAUAACUGUUUGGCAAAAAUUUAAGAAACAGACAACAUAUGACUAUUUCUGUAAAAUUAGUAAACUGAUUGAUUGACAGACUGACUGAUUCCAAAGUACCUGGUUC